rnacentral:lncRNA from 1 species
CUCAAAAUGUCGGAAUUCAUGGUAGCUACAGGGGUUUUAGGUUGAUUGAGAUAGUACUCCAUAUCACUACAGGUUAGCAUGCAAUGAUGACACUGGGUGAUGAUGUGAAAUGCAGUGUCACUAAUGAAACCUUAAUAACUAUAAUGCAAGACUAAAUUUGAUGCAGGACAACCUACUAAUGCAAUCUAUUAUGAUUUCAGAAAUCAGCAAGUCUUCACAAUAAUAACUUAAAAUUUAAAUAUUGCUGAUUUUUACUUCGGUUAUUCAGAAUUAAGGAUUAAGAUUAUUCAAUUUAAGAAAUUAGAUUGCAAUCAAGUAGUUCAGUUGUUCUGAUCCUAAAGUAAUUUGAGCGAAUAAUGUUGAGAAACGUCCUGUUGCUAGGGUGUGCUAAUUUAAUAUCAAGAUUUAAUG